rnacentral:tRNA from 1 species
GCCCCGGUAGCUCAGUUGGACAGAGCGGCGGUUUCCUAAACCGUAGGUCGGAGGUUCAAGUCCUCUCCGGGGUG